rnacentral:rRNA from 1 species
AGAGUUUGAUCCUGGCUCAGGACGAACGCUGGCGGCGUGCCUAACACAUGCAAGUCGAACGAGAUUCCACCGAGCCGAGCAACUUGUUGCAAAGCAUGGUGGUUGAAAGUGGCGGAUGGGUGAGUAACGCGUGAGCAACCUGCCUCGCACAAGGGAAUAGCCUCGGGAAACCGUGAUUAAUGCCCUAUGAUAUGUAGAAAUCGCAUGAUUUUUGCAUCAAAGCGUUAGCGGUGUGAGAUGGGCUCGCGUCUGAUUAGCUAGUUGGUGAGGUAACGGCCCACCAAGGCGACGAUCAGUAGCCGGCUUGAGAGAGUGAACGGCCACACUGGAACUGAGACACGGUCCAGACUCCUACGGGAGGCAGCAGUGGGGAAUAUUGCACAAUGGAGGGAACUCUGAUGCAGCGACGCCGCGUGAGCGAAGAAGGUCUUCGGAUUGUAAAGCUCUGUCCUAAAGGAAGAUAAUGACAGUACUUUAGGAGGAAGCCCCGGCUAACUACGUGCCAGCAGCCGCGGUAAUACGUAGGGGGCGAGCGUUGUCCGGAAUUAUUGGGCGUAAAGGGUACGUAGGCGGUUUUUUAAGUCAUCUGUGAAAGCAUAGGGCUCAACCCUGUCAAGCAGUUGAAACUGGAAGACUUGAGUAGUGGAGAGGAAAGUGGAAUUCCUAGUGUAGCGGUGAAAUGCGUAGAUAUUAGGAGGAAUACCGGUGGCGAAGGCGACUUUCUGGACACUAACUGACGCUGAGGUACGAAAGCGUGGGGAGCAAACAGGAUUAGAUACCCUGGUAGUCCACGCCGUAAACGAUGAAUGCUAGGUGUCGGGGGUCAAACCUCGGUGCCGCAGUUAACACAUUAAGCAUUCCGCCUGGGGAGUACCGUGGGAACCCUGAAAUCAAAGGAAUUGACGGGGACCCCCACAAGCAUGGGAAAAUGUGGUUUAUUUCAAGGCACCGCAAAAACCUUAACAGGGUUGAAAUGGUGGGGGGAAAGGUAAAAAAAAAUACCCC